AAUCUGGCGCGGCCUUUGUCUCACUUCAGCCAGAGAGCGGGGUUAGGGCUUCAUUGCCUUGUGUCCUCUGCUCCGGGAGACUUCGGUGAUUCUGCCACUCCCUCCGUCGCUCUGUGACCUGCUGGCAUUGAAUGAUUUAUAGCUAAGACUCCAGGACACCCCUGAAGCCGAGAAAUGAAAUCCCAAGUUGACCGUCAAGUCCAACGCUCGCUGCAGACAUCUAGUGGACCCGGCGCUCGCGGACGGAAGCGGACAGACCUAGUUGGAUCCUUAUCCCACCAAUCUGGCCCACCUUUGCUGCCAUCUAACUCCGCUGACCGGCCCACCGUUCCUCCACUGUUCGCUGGUUGACCCGGGCAGCGGAGAGAGGAGGUUCUUGUGUACUAUGUUUAACAUUGACAAGAAGAUAAUUAGGAAAUAAAUAUAUAUAAAUACAGGAACAUAAAGAGAAAUAAAGAGGAAGCACCACAGUCAACUAAAAAAGAGAGAUUCCCAGCAACCUACACAACCAUUUCUAUAGGCUCUCAGCUGAUGCUUAGUGUUUGGACAACUCACACAUGCAGAUUGACAGAUGACCAACUUAUAAAAGAGAUUUUUAAUAAUUCUUAAUGAUUUCACAGGGUGUUGUCAAUGGAAAUAUGGAUUCUUCUACAGCAAACAUGUACAUCUAUAUCAUGUGGAACAAGGAUAGUGGGAAAACCUCUGAUUGUGAGGACGUAGAACUGAGAAGAGCAUAUGAAAUGUCAUAAGAAAAACACUUCUGGAGCAUGUCGUCUUCAAGAAAAUGGUGCCCAGACAGUCAGGAUUGUGUUACAUUUUAAUAGGAAUGGGGAUAUUUGUGAUAUACUGACAAACCAAGACAGGUGACUAUAAAACUGCAAUGUAAAGUGUCAGCUUCUCCUCACACCUUUAUAGUAGACAUCUGAGAACCUCACUCCUGUCAGCAUAUUCUUGGGGUUGAAUCUCAAGUGAUCCAUAGAAUCUUAGAUAAAGCAGAUGAAAAUAGGCUUUUCUGUCUUCCUAAGUAAACAGCAAUGAAGUUGAGAGAAAGAAGAUAUUGCUGGAAGUCAUGAUAAAGUCUAUCUUCUGUGACCAUAUGUUUCCUUAGAGAGUUUUAGACAUUGACCCUCAUCUAAAAAAUUGUGAAAAAGGACUCUCACCAGUCUGUUAAUAUGUAUGUAUAUGAAAGAAAUUACUGGUAAACUUCUAAGGCAGGCAUUGGUGUUACUUUUUUUUAUCUUUAUUGUGUCUGUGAAAUGAUUGUGUGUAUUUUUUCUUUGAUUAGACAAUGAGAUUCCCAAAUAAAUUUUAUUAAAGCCAAAAAAACCUUUAUACCUUUUUGAGAUUCUAAUAUUUAUGUAAAAUAUAGUCUGAAAUACACAAUAAACAGAUAUUUGAAUAC
rnacentral:lncRNA from 10 species